rnacentral:rRNA from 1 species
UACGGAGGAUCCGAGCGUUAUCCGGAUUUAUUGGGUUUAAGGGGUGCGUAGGCGGCACUUUAAGUCAGGGGUGAAAGACGGCAGCUCAACUGUCGCAGUGCCUUUGAUACUGAAGUGCUUGAAUGCGGUUGAAGACGGCGGAAUGAGACAAGUAGCGGUGAAAUGCAUAGAUAUGUCUCAGAACACCGAUUGCGAAGGCAGCUGUCUAAGCCGUUAUUGACGCUGAUGCACGAAAGCGUGGGGGAUCGAACAGG